ensembl:lncRNA
CCGCGGCCGCGGGGCGGGAGGGGAGACCCAAGCCAGAGGGGACAGUUCUUCCGGGUUUGGGAAAGGGGCGGGGAGCUGAAGCGAUGAGCAGAUCCGGAAAUCUGCUCUGGGUCUGGAUCUGCCCAGCUCCGACCCGGGUAGACGACCCGCGCACCUCUCUCGCCGCCCAUUCAGGAUCACUAAUUUCAUCGGAAAUGAGGUAACCAGUGCAGGAGACAGAGAAAGCAAAUCGAGCAUCAAAUGGCAGUUCUCGUGAAUCCACGCUAAAGGACUUCCUCUGGACUCAAUUCCUAAGUGCGGUUCUCAACCCCUCACCACCCCGCCCCUCCGCAGGUACCACCGCCGAGAGUUAGCUCGAACGGGGGAGGGGUGGUACCUGGCCAACAGGUGUAGCGCCUGGAAAGAAGAGAAGGUUCAUCCACGCUAAAGGGAGCUCAGUGCGCCUUCUGCGGGCUGCAGAUAAUUCUGGAAAGACCGCACUGCAUUUCAGAAGGGCCCUGAUGCUCACACCAAUCUGCAUUAUCACUGCCAGGAGAAGACUCUGGAAGGCGAGCACGGGGGUCUUGAGGAUGAAGGUUUUCUUUCUGGCAGCAGAGGGAGCACGAGAGUACUUAAUCAAGCAAGUGUACAGGCCCUCCCAGUCGUAAGGGAUUUUUAAUUGUAGCAUAUGUCUUCAUGGGAAGUAGCCUCUUUCAUCGUUCACAACAAAACCAAACAAAGGCAAGCGAACGCAAACAGCUUACCAGCUUGUAACGACGAAAUAACCAAAUGGAUCGGAUGUUAAAUAGACUAUAGUUUUAGGCUUGGCUUCGUAAAAGAAAGUGGACCUCAGCAGUCCUAUUUGAAAAAGAUGCCUUGUUUUUCUGCAAUGAAAAUUAAAGUUUGCCCAACCCAGAGGAAAGCAAGUAAGAGUCGCUCCUGUUUAUACAAAAGCCUGGGGGCCGGUCGACCCCAAUACUGCAUCAGAUAAGUUCAUUUCAUUUGGAGUCAAAUCUGUUGGUGAAGGGAUAUGUACCUUCUCACCAUGUUUAUUUUCACAGUAACUUUAGGGCUUAAUCUUUCAUGUUUGCCGUGGGGAGGAUUUAUGCUUCAGUUACAUGUAUAUAAUUUUUCAUGCUUUUUACAGCCCUCUCGGUUUGCAUUGUCAAGGGCUCCUGUGAGGUGGAUAAGACAUAGUAGAGCUCAGCCUCGAAAAAGUUUUGCAAGUGGCUUGUGCCUUCAUAGCCUUAGGUCAUUUCAUGAUAACAAUACUCCAUUGAGGUGUUCAGAAAUGAGGGAAAUUAUAGAGGUGAAAGAUCCAGCAGCAUGUUCUUUACAGUCUUAAAGGUUUUUCAAAAAAGUUAAUAUGUGGUGAAUAUUUAAAUAAGGGGCAUAUGGAUAGGGACAGACUGAAUUGCCAACCUCCUUUUUUAUAUGUUUAUCACUUGUUUAUCAGUAGCCAUUCAUUGUGCUUCUACCAUAACUAGGCCGCGAGAAUGUAAAGACAUUCCCAUCUGCUGUGAGGGAUUCACAGCAAAACAAAUCUUAUUUUUUGGAAAAAUGUCCAUUUUUACCAGGAUGAAACUUAAAGGUUCAUAGUUGAUGGAGCCAGCCCUUCUCAAAUCAUUAUACUGAUCAGACUUACAAAUAUGAGAAUCAAAUUCUAGAAUCAUUGCAAAUUUGGGUGCUGGGAGGGCAACUGUGUAACUCUUCAGCAAAAUGUAUUCACCGAGGUAAUAUUAAUAUUUCACAUCUGUAAAACAAACACAAUGUAAAGAUAUAACUUGUAUUUCAUCUGAAGGCCUUCUAUAUCAAAAAACAUCACAAGUAAAUUUAAGUGAGAAGCACUUAUUUAUCUCUCCUUAAAAAUUAUUAAAAAGGAAGUUCCCAUCAUGGUGCAGCAGAAAGGAAUCCGACUAGGAACCAUGAGGUUGCUGGUUCAAUCCCUGGCCUCACUCAGUGGGUUAAGGAUCUGGCGUUGCCAUGAGCUGUGGUGUAGGUCGCAGAUGAGGCUCGGAUUCUGUGUUGCUGCAGCUGUGGUGUAGGCCGGCAGCUGCAGCUCCCAUUCGACCCCUAGCCUGGGAACCUCCAUAUGCCUUUACAAAAAAAAAAAAAGAGUUUGUGGAUCCCUCAGGGGUUAACAAAUCCGACUAGGAACCAUGAGGUUGCAGGUUUGAUCCCUGGCCUUGCUCAGUGGGUUAGGGAUCUGGCGUUGCCGUGAGCUGUGGUGUAGGUGGCAGAUGCAGCUCGGAUCCCACGUUGUUGUGGCUCUGGCGUAGGCUGGUGGCUACAGCUCCGAUUGGACCCCUAGCCUGGGAACCUCCAUAUGCCGCAGGAGCGGCCCAAGAAAUGGCAAAAAGACAAAAACAACAACAACAAAAAAAUUAUUAAAAAGAAUUUCCUCCUAUGCUAGAGAAAGAUUUGCCUGGAGCAAUUUGUUAUGGCUGGGUAAUAAAUCCAAAGAUUUGAAUUUUUAAUGGAAACACUGACAGACCUUUAACCAUGGUAUUAUAAGGAAGAUAUUAUCCCACACAUGUCAUUUAAAAAUCCGAGCAAAUGACAGUGUGCUUGCAAAACCAAUAUACUUUCUUUAGACUGCACUGACAAAUAAAGCUAGAGACACCAGAAAAGUAAAAUAAACUAAAAACAAAAGUGAAAACCACUCACACAAUAGACUCUGAGGUCAGCUCACCACACCCAGACUGAAGUCACUGGCCUCUGUUUGUGGCACAGAGACUCUUAAAGUACAUACUUCUGAAUCAUCUUUCUUGACCCUCCACCAAACUGUAGCAGCAUAGGCUUCUGGGUAAUGAAAAUGACAUCACCACUAGUCAAGAGUGAAAUUAAAAUCAUUGUACUUAAACAUCUGCCAACAGUUUAUGAUGUAACAGUACACACAGUAGGGAAUUUUAAAUAAGAUUCUGUCUACAAUUAAAACCAAAAACAAGUGCUUUCAGAUAGGUCUGCACUGUUCAAUAUGACUUCAGCCAUUGAGAUGUGUUAUACGUGUAACAUACACUUUAAAUGUCAGACUUAGAACAUACACACAAAUGCACAAGUGUACACAUAUACAGGUAUCUCAAGAAUUUUCGUAUCGAUUAAAAUGAAAAUAUUCUGCCUAAGUCAGGUUAAAUAAAAUAUACCGUUAAAGUU